ensembl:snRNA U6 U6 spliceosomal RNA
GUGCUUGCUUCAGCAGCACAUACCCAAACUUGAACAAAGAUGAUUAGCAUGGCCCCCUGCACAAGGAUGACACCCAAAUUCGUGAAGUGUUCUAUAUUUUU